rnacentral:tRNA from 1 species
UUAUUACUUUGGCAGAUUAGUGUGUAUGAUUUAGAAUCAUUUUAAGUAAAAAAUUUACAGGUAAUA